GCAGCAGUGAAAUGGGCAAUGUGAUGCACCGAGGAGCUUGGCUUUGGGCGCAUAGCAAAAAAGUCUCAUUAAGGAAGACUGAAGCUUAGGACCCAGAGGCACGUGGGAGAAGAGAGUCUAGCACCAGAAAAAACAGUACCCCAGACACAGACAGUUCCAGUCUGCUCCAACACAGCUACUGCAGAGCACAGCUGAGCCCUGCAGCCAAGAUGGUGGCAUCUCAGGAAAAGCCUGUGUAAGAAGGGGCAAAGUGCUAGCCAUCAGUAAGAAAUGAGGGGAAAGUGUGAGAAACAGCCCUGCAAGCCCUGAGUCAUUGGAAAGGACCAUGGUAGAGCAGGUAUCCAGCCCGUGGAGGACCCCAUGCCAGAGCAGGUGGGUAUGACCUGGAGGAAGCUGCAGCUGGUGGAGGACUCCAUGGAGGAGCAGGGUCCUGGCAGGAGAGGAGCCCACACAGGAGCAGGUUUUCUGGCAGGAACUGCGGCCCGUGGAGGAACCAUGCUGGAGCAGUGUGUUCCUGAUGGACUGUACCCCAUGGAGAGGACCCAUGCUGGAGCAGUUCUUGAAGAACUGCAGCCUGUGGGAAGAACCCCGUGCUGGAGCA